rnacentral:rRNA from 1 species
CAGGACGAACGCUGGCGGCGUGCCUAAUACAUGCAAGUCGAACGGCUUUUCUAUGGAAGCUUGCUUCCACUGAGAAGAUAGUGGCGAACGGGUGAGUAACACGUGGGGUAACCUGCCCAUAAGAGGGGGGAUAACAUCCGGAAACGGGUGCUAAUACCGCAUAGUUUUCUUGAUCGCAUGAUCGGGAAAGGAAAGACGGCCUUUGUGCUGUCGCUUAUGGAUGGACCCGCGGCGUAUUAGUUAGUUGGUGAGGUAACGGCUCACCAAGACGAUGAUACGUAGCCGACCUGAGAGGGUGAUCGGCCACAUUGGGACUGAGACACGGCCCAAACUCCUACGGGAGGCAGCAGUAGGGAAUCUUCCGCAAUGGACGAAAGUCUGACGGAGCAACGCCGCGUGAGUGAAAGAAGGUUUUCGGAUCGUAAAACUCUGUUGUCAGAGAAGAACAAGUUGGAGAGUAACUGCUCCAGCCUUGACGGUAUCUGACCAGAAAGCCACGGCUAACUACGUGCCAGCCGCGGC